rnacentral:rRNA from 1 species
UACGGAGGGAGCUAGCGUUGUUCGGAAUUACUGGGCGUAAAGCGCACGUAGGCGGCUUUGUAAGUUAGAGGUGAAAGCCCGGGGCUCAACUCCGGAACUGCCUUUAAGACUGCAUCGCUUGAAUCCAGGAGAGGUGAGUGGAACUGCGAGUGUAGAGGUGAAAUUCGUAGAUAUUCGCAAGAACACCCGUGGCGAAGGCGGCUCUUUGGGACGGUACUGACGCUGAGACGCGAAAGCGUGGGGAGCGAACAGG